rnacentral:rRNA from 1 species
UAGCCGUAAACGAUACUCGCUAGGUGUCGGCCACGGUGCGACCGUUGUCGGUGCCGUAGGGAAGCCGUGAAGCGAGCCACCUGGGAAGUACGGCCGCAAGGCUGAAACUUAAAGGAAUUGGCGGGGGAGCACAACAACGGGUGGAGCUUGCGGUUUAAUUUGGAUUCAACGCCGGAAAUCUUACCGGGACCGACAGCAACAUGAAGGCCAAGCUGAAGACUUUGCCGGAUUAGCUGAGAGGUGGUGCAUGGCGUGUGACUGU